rnacentral:rRNA from 1 species
CAGUAGCCGCGGUAAUACAGAGGGUGCGAGCGUUAAUCGGAUUUACUGGGCGUAAAGCGUGCGUAGGCGGCUUUUUAAGUCGGAUGUGAAAUCCCUGAGCUUAACUUAGGAAUUGCAUUCGAUACUGGGAAGCUAGAGUAUGGGAGAGGAUGGUAGAAUUCCAGGUGUAGCGGUGAAAUGCGUAGAGAUCUGGAGGAAUACCGAUGGCGAAGGCAGCCAUCUGGCCUAAUACUGACGCUGAGGUACGAAAGCAUGGGGAGCAAACAGGAUUAGAUACCCCGGUAGUCCCUGUCUCUUAUUC